AUUGAACGCUGGCGGCAGGCCUAACACAUGCAAGUCGAACGAGUGGCGGACGGUUGAGUAAUGUCUGGGAAACUGCCUGAUGGAGGUGGAUAACUACUGGAACCGGUAUCUAAUACCGCAUACCCUCAGAUGUGCCCAGAUGGGAUUAGCUUGUGGGUGGGGUAACGGCUCACCAAGGCGACGAUCCCUUGCUGGUCUGAGAGGAUGACCAGCGACACUGGAACUGAGACACGGUCAAGACUCCUACGGGAGGCAGCAGUGGGGAAUAUUGCACAAUGGGCGCAAGCCUGAUGCAGCCAUGCCGCGUGUAUGAAGAAGGCCUUCGGGUUGUAAAGUACUUUCAGCGGGGAGGCGGUACCCGCAGAAGAAGCACAGGCUAACUCCGGGCCAGCAGCCGCGGUAAUAC
rnacentral:rRNA from 1 species